rnacentral:lncRNA from 1 species
GUGAGUGCACUAUCAGAGUGCGGGCCGGUAAGCUGCUGGGGUUCAUUGUAAGAGAGGAAUCGAGGUUGACCCUGCUAAAAAAAAAAGAAAAAAAAGAAAAAAAAGAAUAAGAAAUGCCUGAACCGAGAAUGGAAAGAGAGGUUCGUGGUCUACUAGGUAGAUUGAACUACAUGUCAUGGUUCACAUCUCCUCUAACAGCCACGUGGGAAC